CAAGGCUUGGCACAGACGCCACCCUAACAUGAAGUUACUCAGCUUCCCCAGCUGGAGGUAGUCUGUCUUCCCAAGAUAGAGCUUCAUGAAGAAAAUUUUGAGAUUACUACACUACGGAUUGAUGUCACCACUGAUGGAAGACAUGCUGAGGUAGAAUUUACAACUGACUGGCAGAAAGAUGCGGAACGCAGAGAUCUCACUAUAAAUUCUAUGUUUUUAGGUUUUGAUGGCACUUUAUUUGACUACUUUAAUGGUUAUGAAGAUUUAAAAAAUAAGAAAGUUAGAUUUGUUGGACAUGCUAAACAGAGAAUACAAGAGGAUUAUCUUAGAAUUUUAAGAUACUUCAGGUUUUAUGGGAGAAUUGUAGACAAACCUGGUGACCAUGAUCCUGAGACUUUGGAAGCAAUUGCAGAAAAUGCAAAAGGC
rnacentral:lncRNA from 1 species